CUCCGGCAGAUCGCCACCUCCCCAUCCCUCAGUUUCCUCAUCUGUGAAAUGGGAAUGCUAACAGUCCCUGCCUCAUCGGAUUAGAUGCUCUCAGGUGUCAAGUACAUAGGACUGCACCCUGCAUCCUAGAGGGCCCUCGGGAAGAUUUUUCUGCUCUCUGGUUCAGCUACCUAGGAAAGAGGGAUCCUCCCAGGAGAGAAUCCUGAGUUUCAGCCAGGGUCAGGGGCUUAGUGAGCAUCAUCCUCACAGUAGAGCGGCAUGUGUGCCACACCUGGCAUGGCCAAGGGAGAAAGCACUGCUCCUGGCCCGGCCUCCUGGUGUCAUGGACUCCGGAGCAGGCCCUCCC
rnacentral:lncRNA from 1 species